UCGCGUCUGCCGUGAAAGUCCGGGGCUCAACUCCGGAUCUGCGGUGGGUACGGGCAGACUAGAGUGAUGUAGGGGAGACUGGAAUUCCUGGUGUAGCGGUGAAAUGCGCAGAUAUCAGGAGGAACACCGAUGGCGAAGGCAGGUCUCUGGGCAUUAACUGACGCUGAGGAGCGAAAGCAUGGGGAGCGAACAGGAUUAGAUACCCUGGUAGUCCAUGCCGUAAACGUUGGGCACUAGGUGUGGGGGACAUUCCACGUUUUCCGCGCCGUAGCUAACGCAUUAAGUGCCCCGCCUGGGGAGUACGGCCGCAAGGCUAAAACUCAAAGGAAUUGACGGGGGCCCGCACAAGCGGCGGAGCAUGCGGAUUAAUUCGAUGCAACGCGAAGAACCUUACCAAGGCUUGACAUGGACCGGACCGGGCUGGAAACAGUCCUUCCCCUUUGGGGCCGGUUCACAGGUGGUGCAUGGUUGUCGUCAGCUCGUGUCGUGAGAUGUUGGGUUAAGUCCCGCAACGAGCGCAACCCUCGUUCCAUGUUGCCAGCGCGUAAUGGCGGGGACUCAUGGGAGACUGCCGGGGUCAACUCGGAGGAAGGUGGGGACGACGUCAAAUCAUCAUGCCCCUUAUGUCUUGGGCUUCACGCAUGCUACAAUGGCCGGUACAAAGGGUUGCGAUACUGUGAGGUGGAGCUAAUCCCAAAAAGCCGGUCUCAG
rnacentral:rRNA from 1 species